rfam:Canis lupus familiaris chromosome 1, whole genome shotgun sequence.
CCCCUGCUGGCUCAGUCAGUAGAGCACGGGACUCUUGAUCUCAGGGUUGUGAGUUCAAGCCCCACGUUGGGUG